GACGAACGCUGGCGGCGUGCCUAAUACAUGCAAAUCGAGCGCAGGAAACUGACGGAACUCUUCGGAGGGAAGGCAGCGGAAUGAGCGGCGGACGGGUGAGUAACACGUAAGGAACCUGCCUCAAGGAUUGGGAUAACUCCGAGAAAUCGGAGCUAAUACCGGAUAGUUCAUCGGACCGCAUGGUCCGUUGAUGAAAGGCGCUCCGGCGUCACCUUGAGAUGGCCUUGCGGUGCAUUAGCUAGUUGGUGGGGUAACGGCCCACCAAGGCGACGAUGCAUAGCCGACCUGAGAGGGUGAUCGGCCACACUGGGACUGAGACACGGCCCAGACUCCUACGGGAGGCAGCAGUAGGGAAUCUUCCACAAUGGACGAAAGUCUGAUGGAGCAACGCCGCGUGAGUGAUGAAGGUUUUCGGAUCGUAAAACUCUGUUGUAAGGGAAGAACACGUACGAGAGGAAAUGCUCGUACCUUGACGGUACCUUACGAGAAAGCCACGGCUAACUACGUGCCAGCAGCCGCCGUAA
rnacentral:rRNA from 1 species